GACGAACGCUGGCGGCGUGCUUAACACAUGCAAGUCGAACGGAAAGGCCCUGCUUUUGUGGGGUGCUCGAGUGGCGAACGGGUGAGUAACACGUGAGUAACCUGCCCUUGACUUUGGGAUAACUUCGGGAAACUGGGGCUAAUACCGGAUAGGAGCUCCUGCUGCAUGGUGGGGCUGGGAAGGUUCGGCGGUUGGGGAUGGACUCGCGGCUUAUCAGCUUGUUGGUGGGGUAGUGGCUUACCAAGGCUUUGACGGGUAGCCGGCCUGAGAGGGUGACCGGCCACAUUGGGACUGAGAUACGGCCCAGACUCCUACGGGAGGCAGCAGUGGGGAAUAUUGCACAAUGGGCGGAAGCCUGAUGCAGCAACGCCGCGUGCGGGAUGACGGCCUUCGGGUUGUAAACCGCUUUCGCCUGUGACGAAGCGUGAGUGACGGUAAUGGGUAAAGAAGCACCGGCUAACUACGUG
rnacentral:rRNA from 1 species